rnacentral:sRNA from 1 species
AGAAUUAACCUUUGACCCCUAUUAUAGAAUCAGGAAAGAAACUCACUGCUCUGGUUUGGCCUCCCUGCCUGGCCCGGAGCAAUGAACACAGUUGCCACCAGGAGCUCCUGAGAGGGAAAGAGAGGCAGGGAGUAGAAGAGACCUCAGGCAUCUGUGAGCGUGAUGGGAACAGACUCUGUGGAGAUGAUGGCUUCACUGAGACUGCUUGCUUAAUGGGGACAGCAGAGGAUGCUUAAACCUUUGAGGGGGGCUGCUGGACAUGCCCUUAUAAGGGGAGAGGAAGUUUAACUUGACCGCCAGGCUACGUGAGUGAUCUCCUCAAGCUGACAAAGUUGGGGGAACCAGAUUACAUAUGGUGGGACAUGCAGGCCCUGGGUGGGUGGGGGAGCAAUCCUACUCCUGUCAAUCUCAGGAUUAGAUUUCCUGUUUGGACAUACUUUGACCCCAUUCUUGCUUCCUCCUGCCUCACCCCCUUCCCUUGUCCCACUGCUCCCAGGCUCCACAGAAACUAAGACUAGGACACUAAUCUCCUCCCAGGCCACACUCACCGGCUCCCAAGGCAGAGUGCAGCAGCAGCAGCAGCAGCAGCAGCAGCAGCAGCAGCAGCAGCAGCAGCAGCAGCAGCAGCAGCAUUCUGUUCUGCCCGGCAAGAGAUCACCCCAUUCUGACUAACAACCUGGUCUCUGAUUUUGUCCACCAGUAUACCCCCAAUAAUAGCUAACACAUAAUCAUCAUUUUCAGAUGCUGGCUGCCUCAACUCAGAGUAAAGACUGAACAUUUGUCCUUUCAUCUUCUGCAAAGGAGAAAAUGAACUACUCUGAGCAGAUGGUAUUUGGUCAUGUGCAAAUGGCUACUGGUCUUGGGUUGCUGUGAGCCGGAGGGAGGUGAACAAGGUGCUGGUCAGGGUGGAGCAAAUUCUGGAACAUCCCCAAAUAACUGAUCUGUAAUUAUAUUUGGAGAAGCAAAGACUUCAUAAAAGUACCUGGCAGGCUCAUCUUAUUGCAGCUUACCACGUUACAUACAUCUUUAUAAGUUACCAAAAACAUGUCCUGGAUUAAAGCAGUUUGUGAACACCAUCAAGGCUUAAGCCCCAAACUUCUCCCCCUGAGAGGUUUGUAUUAUCCCUGAGAGGAACCUGGAGCACCCCGCGUUCCACACAGAAGAGCCCAGAGCCUGAAGUGAAUGUGAUGCAGGGGGACCAUGGAAGAUACAUUUCCUCAACUCAGUUUCUCAUAGAGGAAGUUUGGAGCUGAGAGAGUCAGGAUUUCGUGUUGGACUGGACUUUAUUAAUAAAACAUGAGAUAGUUCCUGCUUGAAA